rnacentral:rRNA from 1 species
GCACAAUGGGCGCAAGCCUGAUGCAGCCAUGCCGCGUGUAUGAAGAAGGCCUUCGGGUUGUAAAGUACUUUCAGCAGUGAGGAAGUGGGUAUGUUAAUAGCAUAUUCAUUUGACGUUUAGCUGCAGAAGAAGCACCGGCUAACUCCGUGCCAGCAGCCGCGGUAAUACGGAGGGUGCGAGCGUUAAUCGGAAUUACUGGGCGUAAAGCGCAUGCAGGUGGUUUGUUAAGUCAGAUGUGAAAGCCCGGGGCUCAACCUCGGAAUUGCAUUUGAAACUGGCAAACUAGAGUACUGUAGAGGGGGUAGAAUUUCAGGUGUAGCGGUGAAAUGCGUAGAGAUCUGAAGGAAUACCGGUGGCGAAGGCGGCCCCCUGGACAGAUACUGACACUCAGAUGCGAAAGCGUGGGGAGCAAACAGGAUUAGAUACCCUGGUAG